rnacentral:rRNA from 2 species
UGGCGGCACUAGCGCGGUGGUCCCACCUGACCCCAUGCCGAACUCAGAAGUGAAACGCCGUAGCGCCGAUGGUAGUGUGGGGUCUCCCCAUGUGAGAGUA